rnacentral:rRNA from 1 species
UACAGAGGGGGCAAGCGUUGUUCGGAAUUACUGGGCGUAAAGGGCGCGUAGGCGGCCAACUAAGUCGGACGUGAAAUCCCCGGGCUCAACCCGGGAACUGCGUCCGAUACUGGAUGGCUUGAAUCCGGGAGAGGGAUGUGGAAUUCCAGGUGUAGCGGUGAAAUGCGUAGAUAUCUGGAGGAACACCGGUGGGGAAGGCGGCAUCCUGGACCGGUAUUGACGCUGAGGCACGAAAGCGUGGGGAGCAAACAGG